rnacentral:rRNA from 1 species
GAGUGAACGCUGGCGGUAGGCCUAACACAUGCAAGUCGAACGGCAGCCCAGUAAGAGCUUGCUCUUACGGGUGGCGAGUGGCGGACGGGUGAGGAAUACAUCGGAAUCUACUUUUUCGUGGGGGAUAACGUAGGGAAACUUACGCUAAUACCGCAUACGACCUACGGGUGAAAGCAGGGGAUCUUCGGACCUUGCGCGAUUGACUGAGCCGAUGUCGGAUUAGCUAGUUGGCGGGGUAAAGGCCCACCAAGGCGACGAUCCGUAGCUGGUCUGAGAGGAUGAUCGGCCACACUGGAACUGAGACACGGACCAGACUCCUACGGGAGGCAGCAGUGGGGAAUAUUGGACAGUGGGCGCAAGCCUGAUCCAGCCAGACCGCGUGGGUUAAGAAGGCCUUCGGGUUGUAAAGCCCUUUUGUUGGUAAAGAAAAGCAGCAGGUUAAUACCCCGCUGUUCUGACGGUACCCAAUGAAUAAGCACCGGCUAACUUCGUG